rnacentral:misc_RNA from 1 species
GAUGAAGAACGUAGCGAAAUGCGAUAACUAAUGUGAAUUGUAGAAUUCAGUGAAUCAUCGAGUCUUUGAACGCACAUUGCGCCCCCUGGUAUUCCGGGGGGCAUGCCUGUCCGAGCGUCAUUGCUGCCCUCAAGCACGGCUUGUGUGUUGGGCUCCGUCCCCCCGGGGACGGGCCCGAAAGGCAGCGGCGGCACCGAGUCCGGUCCUCGAGCGUAUGGGGCUUUGUCACCCGCUCUGUAGGCCCGGCCGGCGCCAGCCGACAACCCAUCAUCCUUUUCAGGUUGACCUCGGAUCAGGUAGGGAUACCCGCUGAACUUAAGCAUAUCAAUAAGCGGAGGA